CUUCAUUUUUCAGAGUAUCUUUAGGUAUCUUCAGAAAAGUGGCUUUAGUUGAAUAAAAUGACAUGAAGCAAAUUUAGAUAAUGCAUUUGUAAUUUCUAAAAAGUGCCUUGAGAAUUGAAAAGAAUAUAGAAAACAAGAAAGAGGAAGCAUUGCCUAUUCAUGUAGCGAUAUCUCUAAGUCAGGAGUUCUUUAUCAAAGAUCUCAAAUUUGCCAGCUGAUAAAUUAACUCUAGAAAG
rnacentral:lncRNA from 1 species